GGGCCCGCACAAGCGGUGGAGUAUGUGGUUUAAUUCGAUGCAACGCGAAGAACCUUACCAGGGUUUGACAUCCUGCGAAUCUCUUGGAAACAGGAGAGUGCCUUCGGGAACGCAGUGACAGGUGGUGCAUGGCUGUCGUCAGCUCGUGUCGUGAGAUGUUGGGUUAAGUCCCGCAACGAGCGCAACCCACGUCUUUAGUUGCCAGCAUUUAGUUGGGCACUCUAGAGAGACUGCCGGUGAUAAACCGGAGGAAGGCGGGGACGACGUCAAGUCAUCAUGGCCCUUACGACCAGGGCUACACACGUGCUACAAUGGUAGGUACAGAGGGCAGCUACACAGCGAUGUGAUGCGAAUCUCAAAAAGCCUAUCGUAGUCCAGAUUGGAGUCUGCAACUCGACUCCAUGAAGUAGGAAUCGCUAGUAAUCGCGGAUC
rnacentral:rRNA from 1 species